rnacentral:rRNA from 1 species
UACGUAGGUGGCAAGCGUUAUCCGGAUUUAUUGGGCGUAAAGCGAGCGCAGGCGGUUGCUUAGGUCUGAUGUGAAAGCCUUCGGCUUAACCGAAGAAGUGCAUCGGAAACCGGGCGACUUGAGUGCAGAAGAGGACAGUGGAACUCCAUGUGUAGCGGUGGAAUGCGCAGAUAUCGGGAAGAACACCGAUGGCGAAGGCAGAUCUCUGGGCCGCAACCGACGCUGAGGCGCGAAAGCUAGGGGAGCGAACAGG